UACGGAGGGGACUAGCGUUGUUCGGAAUUACUGGGCGUAAAGCGCACGUAGGCGGAUUUGUAAGUCAGGGGUGAAAUCCCGGGGCUCAACCUCGGAACUGCCUUUGAUACUGCAAAUCUCGAGUCCGGAAGAGGUGAGUGGAAUUCCUAGUGUAGAGGUGAAAUUCGUAGAUAUUAGGAAGAACACCAGUGGCGAAGGCGGCUCACUGGGCCGGUACUGACGCUGAGGUGCGAAAGCGUGGGGAG
rnacentral:rRNA from 1 species